AGACGUCUACAUUAGAUACCCCUGUAGUCCCAGCCGUAAACUAUGCGCGUUAGGUGUAUCGGUGACCACGAGUUACCGAGGUGCUGAAGGGAAACCGUGAAACGUGCCGCCUGGGAAGUACGGUCGCAAGGCUGAAACUUAAAGGAAUUGGCGGGGAGCACCACAACAGGUGGAGCCUGUCGGUUUAAUUGGACUCAACGCCGGGAAGCUCACCGGAUAGGACAGCAGAAUGAUUGCCGGGCUAAAGACCCUGCAUGACUAGCUG
rnacentral:rRNA from 1 species